UACAUGGGGUGCAAACGUUGCUCGGAAUUAUUGGGCGUAAAGCGCGCGUAGGUGGUUACCUAAGUCGGAUGUGAAAGCCCUCGGCUUAACUGAGGAAGUGCACCCGAAACUGGGUAGCUAGAGUACUAAAGAGGGUCGCGGAAUUCCCGGUGUAGAGGUGAAAUUCGUAGAUAUUGGGAAGAACACCGGUGGCGAAGGCGGCGAGCUGGUCCAUUACUGACGCUGAGGCGCGACAGCGUGGGGAGCAAACAGG
rnacentral:rRNA from 1 species